GCGAGUCUAAUUUUGGAGAUUGCUUCUGGGGUUGGACACUGUUAAGAUAAACUGUAAUGAGAAACUAUUCAAUAUUUAAAGAUCUUGAAUAUGGAGCUCUUUUUAACCUGUUGGGCAAUUACAUUCCUUUGGUUUUCUCCAUCUACAGCGCUACUUUUAAACAAAUAAUUGUUUAGAAUACUUCAGAGCCAUGAUAAGAAUUUGGAUAAAGUUCACCUGUCUGCAAUGCUGGUACUACAACAAAGCCCCACUAGUUUGGAUCACCCUGGGGAAGCAAUGGCUUUUUCCGUUGUGAAAUAAGGACAAAUUUGACUAAAAAAAUAUUGUAUUAAAGAGGCAAUACCAUGCUCCAAUGAAACAAUUUGACAACUGAUUUUUGUCUCUGUUUGUCCACCUAGCUCAUCAAGCACUUUCUCCACAAUAAUUCGGUACAAAUCAAAUAUCCCUCCACUAUUAAGAGCUUUUAUAUUUUCAUCCUUACAAACGUAAGACUAGUGGGGAAAAAUAAAAAGCAAUGUGGCCAAAGGCAUUAGCCAAGACCAGAGAGGCCACUAUACAAUUCGAACUUGAAAUGUACACAAAACGCGAUUCUUUGACAGAAAUAUCAGCAUUUUACACUGUGAUAAACAAAUCACAUGUAUCAAAAGUAAAAUGAACAAACAAUGCACUAACGGUGUAUCGAAACUUGACCGACCGACAAAAAAGUUGCCAUAAAGUUUUUACUUGAGCUACACGUACAAAAAGUACAAAAUGAACACACAUGAAAACAAAUGGAGAAAAAUCGUCAUUUUGCCACUGUAAUCAUCGAUACUACAACGGAGGCAAAUAUACCGAUUAAACAGAUUUGAAAGCAACCUCGACAAAGCAUCUCGGUGAUCUAAGUCAUCCAAAAUCUUCGAAAAUUUGACGGAUAUAACUUUCCAUAAAAUGCCGGUUAGCUAAGUCGGAAGCCUUUUCAACUGUCAAGUGGGAGGGAAUACACUGUUAUCUCUUAAGGGAACAUGAAGACUUUUGGCAACUUCAAAUCAACCCCAAGAACUAUUACCUAAAAAGCAAAAAUUCCACCAUGAAAGGGACCAUGUGGCUCGCAAUGGCCUUAACCUACAUACAAGCUUGUAGUUCAUUGCCAUAAAACGAUGCCACCUAGAGACUAACCUUGAUGGUUUGGCUUCUGUAUUUUUGGCUGUCUUGAUCGCAUCAAAAGAAGUCGCUUCAAAUAUCUUGCAAACGUCUUUCUCUCACUCAUCUUUUGUCAUAUAAUCCGUCCAAACGUAAAAGAUCGCCUUUCUAAAUCCCUCUAUCGCGUCUUUGGACUCGCAAAAUGGCCUCCACUUCGUGAGCGUCGGUUCUGACCACUGCCGCAUGCGCAGGCAAAAUGUUAUCACUGAACACCGAACACCCAAGCUGGCAACCGUGCACUACAGCAGCGUGUGACAGCUGUCACUGAUACCAUUGAUGAUGAUGAUGAUGGAUGAUUUCCCGUCUGAAGGGCUUGAAAAAGCAACAAAGCUUUUUCAGGAAAAGAUGAGAAAGGCAACAACUUGAGAAGAAACAUUGAGAUGUCUUAACUGGGAAGUUGUGGAAUACCAAGUCCUGCUUGAACAAAGGAACAACUGGUUUUAUUCUUCUCAAUGAUUUUCUUGGAGAGUUGGAUCCAGCUAAUCCUCAGCGGGCACAUGUGGUGUCCGUUUUGAAGGAUUCUCAAACCGACAUGGCUUCGUACUUGAGAAAUAUUUUCAAGAAAAGAAGGCAGCCAGCAGCAGCCCAUGUUUUAGUUCUGAUGGUGUCAGACGAGAGAAGAAAUCAUAACAGGAUCGUACAGGGGGGUCUCUGGCACGGUUCACGUUCCCUGGUUGCUGCAAAUUAAGGUUGCUGCAAAUUAGAAAAUCAGAAGUAUGUGCACGCACUGAAGGAAGGAGAAGCCAGCGGAAUACAUGCGAGGUUUUACAAGAGAAGUGGUGAUUGAAGUGACAGCUAAUAUCGAGAGCCAGGAGGUGCGAAGGUUACAGAAUGGAGACAUUGGAUAUCCUGAACACCCACGGGCAGGUUCUACUGAAGAUCUUGAGUGUUUCAUUGGUGUGGCACAUACCAAAUUAGGCUCAGUAUUUACAAUUAAAGAAUUCAAGGAUGGAUGGCCUAAUUAGCUUGUGAGGUAGACUCAACUACAAGAGAAACUGAAUGCAAAAUAAGGUUCAUUCCUGG